UCGCGGCUUAUCACCGGCAGUCCCCCUAGAGUGCCCAACUAAAUGAUGGCAACUAAGGGCGAGGGUUGCGCUCGUUGCGGGACUUAACCCAACAUCUCACGACACGAGCUGACGACAACCAUGCACCACCUGUGAACCGGCCCCAAAGGGGAAACCACAUCUCUGUGAGUUUUCUCCAUAUGUCAAACCCAGGUAAGGUUCUUCGCGUUGCAUCGAAUUAAUCCGCAUGCUCCGCCGCUUGUGCGGGCCCCCGUCAAUUCCUUUGAGUUUUAGCCUUGCGGCCGUACUCCCCAGGCGGGGCACUUAAUGCGUUAGCUUCGGCACGGAAGGAGUCGACACCUCCCACACCUAGUGCCCAUCGUUUACAGCGUGGACUAC
rnacentral:misc_RNA from 1 species